UACGAAGGGGGCGAGCGUUGUUCGGAUUUACUGGGCGUAAAGGGCGCGUAGGCGGCCCUCCUUGUCGCGUGUGAAAGCCCCGGGCUCAACCUGGGAAUUGCGCGCGAAACGGGGGGGCUUGAGUUCGGGAGAGGAGCGUGGAAUUCCCAGUGUAGAGGUGAAAUUCGUAGAUAUUGGGAAGAACACCGGUGGCGAAGGCGGCAUCCUGGACCGAGAUCGACGCUGAGGCGCGAAAGCUAGGGGAGCGAACGGG
rnacentral:rRNA from 1 species